AAAACCAUGACAUAAGAAACAUAAAAAUUGUUUUAUUCCCAUUGGAACAGCUUUUCACUGGUACUGAAUAUUGCACAACACCCCCAAAGUGAAACUCCGCCCCUUUGAUGUGAUCACAUGGAAUUACAAUGACGACUCAUGUCAUGUGAUUUUGGGAGCAUAAAUAGUGGAUCAGAAUCAAUCUGUGAGACAGACUGCCUGAUAAUACAGUUUAUUUCAUCCAGGAUUUGAUCGCCAACACACUGCAGCAAUGUGUGAUAUUGGAGGAUGGACCACAGAGGAGUCUGUCACUCCAGAGGUGACGAACAUCUGCCUUGAGGUGAAGUCAGACAUAGAGGAGAAGGCUGGAGCUAAUUUUGAGGUUUACAUUCCUUUAAGCUUUGCUUCUCAUAUUGUGGCAGGGACAAACUAUGUGGUGAAGGCACAAUUUGUAUGUUUCUAAUAUCAACAAGCAAACGAUGGCAGUGUGUCCUAAACGGGUGUGAUCAUGUGUCCAGUCAUUUUCCAGUCCUCUCUGAAAGGUGUACGUUGGAGUGGAUAAGUGCAUUCAUGCAAUGAUAUUUCAAGCUCUCCCCUGCAGUGGAGGGGAAUUGACUGUGACUGGAGUCCAGCACCCUAAAACCGCCAGUGAACCUCUGAUCCCCUUUGAUGACUAACUAACCACAUGCAGAAAACAGUCUGUCUUCUCUAAUAACAGACACACACAAUCUGCCAUACUGUAUAGAGGAACUAUUGAAAACUGUUUCAUUCCUCAAUAUUAAACUCAAUAUUAAACCC